rnacentral:rRNA from 1 species
AGGACGAACGCUGGCGGCGUGCUUAACACAUGCAAGUCACGGGGGCCCGCAAGGGCAACCGGCGAACGGGUGCGUAACACGUGAGCAACCUGCCUAGAUGUGGGGGAUAGCCGGCCCAACGGCCGGGUAAUACCGCAUACGGUCACGAGGAGGAGUCUCCUUGUGAAGAAACCUCCGGGGCAUUUAGAGGGGCUCGCGGCCUAUCAGCUAGUUGGCGGGGUAAUGGCCCACCAAGGCUUCGACGGGUAGCUGGUCUGAGAGGAUGGCCAGCCACAUUGGGACUGAGAGACGGCCCAGACUCCUACGGGAGGCAGCAGUGGGAAUCUUGCGCAAUGGCCGAAAGGCUGACGCAGCGACGCCGCGUGUGGGAGGACGCCCUUCGGGGUGUAAACCACUGUUGCCCGGGACGAACAUCUUCUUUCGAGAGGACUGACGGUACCGGGUGAGGAAGCGACCGGCUAACUCCGUGCCAGCAGCCGC